GGGUCGGUGGAGGGGGGCUGUUGUCCAGGCUCCGGGCUCGGUGCGGCCCCGGGGAGGGGGCUUCUCCGCCCCCCCGGGCAGGGAGCGAGUAACCACCUGGCCCUGGCUUCCCGGCCCGCCUGUGGCCCGGCCUGAGCUCGGGGAGGGGGCACCGUCGGGGCCGCAGCGCUGGCCUAGGUUUCUGUGAGUGAGCUUUGCCCCGUGAGGAGCUGCGUGGAGCCUGGCAGGAUCACAGGGGCGGGCCGACGAGAGGGCAUUUACCUGGAUUGGGAGGAAAGAAGGCCAUAAUUCAAGGAAAUAACUCAGUAUGAAGAAAGGCUCUUAAAUUCUAGAUUUACCCCUCAGACGUUGACACCAGUGACCCGAUGAAAAGCAGCUCUUGGCCUUUGGAUUCAAAUUGGGACCGUGGCUCUGGAGAUUUUGCUGACCUCCAUCAUCACAUGAGCCAGUUCUUCAUCAUAAGUCUUGUUAUCAGUAGAUACCUCCUAUUGGUUCCAUCAAGCUCCAUACACAGCUGACCCUCAAACAACGUGGGGAUUAGUGGCACUGACCCCCACACAGUCAACUCUCCAAAAAUUUAACUAAUAGCCUACCAUUGAUGAAAGCUUUACAGAAAACGUACAGUUGAUGAACACCUAGAUUGUUUGUGUUAUAGACUGUAUUCUUACAAUAAAGUAAGCUAGAGAAAAGAAUGUUAUUAAAGUCGUAAGAGAAAAUACAUUUACAGUACUGGACUAUAUUUCUGAAAAAAAGUCUAUGUGUAAGUGGACCCAUGCAGUUCAUGUCUGUGUUGUUUAAUGGCCAACUAUAUAGUUAUAUAUACAACAGGAGAUCAUAUAAACAGGAGAUUUAUAUGUACAUCUCAUAAUGUAUAUGUUAUUGAGUAUAUAUAAUAAUAGAUGUAUAUGACAAGAUGUAAGGUGUACAUAACAAAACUGUAUAUAUAGAUUUCCUACUGAUUCACUUUCUCUAGACAACCCUGACUAAUACAGAUUUUUAAAAUAAUGCAAAAAGUCUCAAAUUUAAAAAACAAGUUCAUUUGCAAUAGCAUAAAAAAAAUACUUAGAAAUAAAUUUAACAAGUGUUAGAGUUCUGAAAACUACAUGGCGUUGUAGAAAGGAAGAAGACCUGUAUAAGUUAAAGGACAUCCCAUGUUCAUGGAUUGGAAGACUUAAUAUUAAGAUAGGACUACUCCCUAAAUUGAUCUAUAGAGUCAGUGCAAUACCUAUCAAAUUUGUUUUUUUUUUUUUUGCAAAAAUCCACAAACUGGUCCUAAAAUUUUCAUGGAAAUGCAAGAGUAACCAAAACAGUCUUGGAAAAAAAAGGAACAAAGAUGGAAAACUCACACUAAUGAACUUGAAAAGUUACUACAAAGCUUCAGUAAUCAAGACAGUAUGGUCCUGGUAUAAGGAUAGAAGGAUAGUGAAAUGGCGUAGCAUUGAGAGCCCAGAAAUAAGCCUUCACAUUCGUAGUCAGUUGAUUUUCCUGAAGAGCGCCAAGAUGAUUCUAUAGGAAAAGAAUAGUGUUUUCCAACAAACAGUGAUGGGAUAUGGAAAACAAGGAAGUUGGACCCUUACCUAACACCAUAUUCAAAAUUUUACUCAAAAUUGGUCAAAGGCCUAAAUGUAAGUGCUGAAACAAAACUCUUAGAAGAAAACAUAGGCAUAAAUGUUUAUCACCUUGGAUUAGGCAGUGAUUCCUUAGUUAUAACACCAAACACACAAGCAACAAAAGGAGAGUACAUUGGACUUCAUCAGGAUGAAACACGUCAGUACGUUAAAAGACACCAUCAUAGAUCUGAUAAGGGAAUUGAGCCCAGAAUGUAUAAAGAACUCUUACAACUCAACAAUAAAAGAUAAUCUAAUUUAAAAACGGGCCAAGACUUAAAUAUAGACCGGCCUCCACAUAAGAUACACAAAUGGCCAAUAAGCACAUGAAAAGAUUUCAGCAUCAUUAGUCAUUAGAGAAAUGCAAACCAAAACCACGAAGAGAUACCGCUCACACACACUAAUGCGGCUGUAGUCAGAAACAUGGAAGGUGAGCAUUGGCAAGGAUAUGAAGAAACAAACCCUCCUACUCAUGGGAAUAUGAGACACUACAGCACGGGUGGGCCCAGUGACAGAGGCCACACAUGAAAGCCCAUGUAUUGUAUGGUCCCAUUUAUAUGAAAUACCCAGAACAGCAAAUCCAUAGAGACAGCAAGUAGAUGAGUGGUUGCCUGGGGCUGGGAAGGAGGGGAGUGGAGUACAAGGUUUCUGUUUGGGGUGAUGAAAAUGUUCUAAAAUUAGAUUGCGGUGAUAGUUGCAAAACACUGUGAAUGUACUAAAAACUGCUGAAUUGUACAUUUUAAAAGGGCGAAUUUAAUGUCUAUUACAUCUCCAUAAAAUAAACAACAGUAUAAAAGAAAA